GCUUGUGUUUGCAUGUAAAAGAGAGAAAUAGAUAUGCUAAUGGUGGUAUGAAUGGCGAAUGGAGAAUGGGCCGCACAACCGCAAAUCGGCAGGCCGGUGGCCCACUACACACUCCAGCAAGUAUUGUGAUGAUCAAAUAGCUUUUCUCGACCCUCGUCACCGACCUGACAACCUGCAGCCUGAUUACUCACUCGGGCAUUGCACACCGCUCCCCCUCCUCCUGUCUCUACUUGGUUUUCAAUCUCAGCUGUUUUUUCUGGAGCGUUAUGAUGAACGUUGGUCACAUGGGGCUGACCUUCCGCAACCAGGAAGUCCAUCCCUUGAUGAGCCUCAUACUGAGCUCCAUGAAAACGCUUCGGAUUAAAGGAAUCUGUGUUCCAAUUUGCACCCUUAACUGUACGGAACACCCCUAUGGAACACCCCAAAGGAACACCUCUGAAACACCCCUAUGGAACAUCCCAUUGGAACCUUCCCAAGGAAAAUCCCUACAGAACACCCAGACGGAACAUUGUUUUGGAAGACCCAAACAAAAAUACAGAACAUCACUAUGGAACCUUCCUAUGGAACAUUCCUACCGAACAACCCUUUUAAACAACUUUAAGAAACCCCCUGACAAAACACUCCUGUGGAACAUCCCUUUGGAACGUUCCCAUGGAACAACUCUACUUAACACUCUUACAGAACAUCCCUAUAAAACCUUACUAUGGAACAUUUCUAUGGAACACCCUGAUGAGAGAUCCAGUCUUAAAGAGAACCCCACAUAUAAUCCAUAUAGAACAGCUCUGCAUAACACUCCUAUAGCUCAUGAAUAUAUAAAACCCUGUUACAUAUGUUAUAUACGUAAUACACUUAUAUAACACCCUUAUAGGAUUUUCCUGUAUAACACCCCUAUAUAAUACAAUUAUAAAACACCCUUAUAGAACAUCCCUGUAUAACACCCCUAUAUAAUACAAUUAUAAAACAUCCUUAUAGAACAUCCCUGUAGAACAACACUGUAUAACAACCCUAUAUAAUACACUUAUAAAACACCCUUAUAGAACAUAUCUGUAUAACACCCCUAUAUAAUACACUUAUAAAACACCUUUAUAGAACAUCCCUGUAUAACACCCCUAUAUAAUACAAUUAUAAAACACCCUUAUAGAACAUCCCUGUAGAACAACACUGUAUAACAACCCUAUAUAAUACACUUAUAAAACACCCUUAUAGAACAUCUCUGUAUAACAACCCUAUAUAAUACACUUAUAAAACACCUUUAUAGAACAUCCCUGUAUAACACCCCUAUAUAAUAUUCAUUCCUCAUCAUUAUCAUUCCUCAUCACCCCCCCCCCUCUCUCAUCACCCCUCAUUAUCCUCAUUUACAUUCUUCUACCCCUCAUCAUCCCCCCUCUAUCUCUCAUCAUCCUUCUAUAUCCUCAUUAUCAUUCCUCUACCCCUCAUCAUCCCCCCUCUACCUCUCAUCAUCCCUCAUUAUCCUUCCUCUACCCUUCAUAAUCCUCCUACCUCUCAUCAUCCCUCAUUAUCCUAAUUAUCAUUCCUCUACCCCUCAUCAUCCCUCAAUAUUAUCCCUCUACUCCUCAUCACCCCUCAUUACCCUCUCUAUACCCCUAAUCAUCCCUAAUCAUUCUACCUCUAACCAUUAUCAUCAUCCUUAUUCCCCUAUAAUUCCUCUUCCCCUCAACAUCCUCUCUCCACCCUUCAUUAUCCUCCCUCUACCCCUCAUCAUCCUUCAUCAUCCUCUCUACCCCUCAUUAUCUACUCUCUACUCAUCAUCAUCCCUCAUCAUCCUCUCUCUACUCCUCAUCAUCCUCCCUGUAACGCUCUUCCUUUCUUUCCUCUCUCUUCUCCACCAAUCUGUGACUUCUGGAAUAUUCUGCAACACAGAUCAUCUCUCAUUCAUGACAGACAGGUCAUGUUGUCAAUUUGGAGUUGUUGAUAUCAGGAAAUCUAUCCAUUACAUCCCAUUAACAUAAACAUCAAGAAAAAGAAAAACACAACCACCUUUUCAAAAACAGAGGAACAGGAGCAGAACAUCUACUUGCAUGCGUCAAAUACAUUGUCCUAGGCAUCUAGCAAACAGACGAAUAUGUAUCUUAAUUUAUAAUUCAUGGCGAGUCUUUGUGUGUUUUGUUUCUGUGUUUACAGAGGCUUUGCUAAUGCAUUCCUCCUCGCUACAUAACCAAGCAAGGUGGGACAUUCCCAUGCAUCCCAAAAAAACAAUACAUCUGUAGUCUAAGAAACACACAC
ensembl:lncRNA